CACCGCCGGAACUAUUUGCAGGGGAGAAAUCAAAUGGACUGACUCUGGCCACCAUGCUUCCUCAAGGACGGAAAUAGGUGUGAACGUCUUGUCCAAACGUGCCGAAGAAUGACGCUCGACUGAAGAAAUGAAACUCGCGCAGUCUUCCGCUGCACUCCACGUGACCCUCGUGAAGAAAAUGGAUGGAUGGAUGUUUCAGAUGGUGUCAACCACCGGCGGGACUCUGGCCAUGACUUGAAAAUGGCUUUUGAUCUUCACUUAGUCUUGCAGAUCAUUUCAUGGGUGGAAGAACGAGAUGUGGGGGCUGACUGUGAUGCAAAUUAGCAGGAGUGCAGAACAGUUCGCUCACAUACGCAGACGACGAAAAAUGAACUUGUACCCCGCCUCCUGCCCGUUGACAGCCGGGAUAGGCUCCAGCACUCCCCGCGUCCCUUGUGAGGAUAUGCGGCAAAAGAAAAGGGACGGAUGGAUGGGAUUUUCUGUAUUUUGUAUUUUCACCACUCACGACUGGGCGUGGAAUGUAUCACUUAUACUUGCAUUAUUGUUACAUACGUGUACUGUAUUGUUGCAACUUUUGUACACCCUCAG